rnacentral:lncRNA from 1 species
GCCAGAUCCUUAACCCACUGAGCGAGGCCAGGGAUCGAACCUGCAACCUCAUGGUUCCUAGUCGGAUUCGUUUCUGCUGUGCCACAACGUGAACUCCUGAUAUUUUCUCUUGACUGGACUAGUUCCUCAGCCUUGGAAAACUCAGAAGCUAUAGUUGACAGGGGGCUAGGAAGGUGGUUUCUGCCCUUGAGUCUUACUAAAGGCAGUUCCACAUUUUCUUCACAAGGUAUUCUAUCCCUUUAACUGGAUGCUCCAGUUUCUUGACCUUCUCUGGUUGCAAUGAUCUGUAGCCUUAUAUUUUUCCGCCCUCUCUCUUAUACUUGAUACUUCAUCUCCAAGAACAUUUGUCAUUCCUCAACAUUCUCUGAUUUUCCCUGUAGCUGAAUCUAAAUUUACAUGGAUUUUGAAUCAGAGAUGGCUUCUUGUCUGCUAAAAAACGCUCUCUGUCUUCAAGAUGUAUUUCAAAAACCACUUCUUCACCUAAAUGUUGCCAGAUUUUUAUUUUGCUCAUCCUCCAGUUUGAAUUAAUUAUUGCAUGCCUCUAUGACUUUCCUUAUUUAUUAUUUUUGUACUGAAUUUUAUCUAACUAUUGUUAGGGGUGCUCUGUUUACAUAUUGGUUUGUGAAAUUCUUGGGGCAAGUUUUAAAUUUCAUUCCUCUUUGAAUCUUUUCUGGGCCUAAUUUGGUACCACACAUAGAGAAGUUCUUCAAUAAAUAUUUGAAGUACCUUAUUGAAUUACAUGUCUCUGUGGAACACAGAAAUAACAUUUCUUCUAGUCAAUAAAUAAUAAAAUAUUUACUUGGUAGCUUUAUUUUGUAAAGAUCCAUACUAGCACUACAGAAUAGAGUUCUUUUUUUUUGUUGUUGUUGAAAUUUUUUUUUUUUUAAUUUUGUGGCCAUACCCACAGCAUAUAGAAGUUGUUUUAACUUUUAUCUUUUCCUCUUUCAUUUUUAUUAAGCACCUAUUAGUUGGUGAUACUUUUUCUAGGCCCUGGAGAUAGCAAGAAUGUUUGUUCAAAUGAUUUGUAUCAAAAGCACUCAGGGGAGUUCCUGUUGUGGCUCAGCAGGUUAAGAACCAAACAUAGUCUCUGUAAGGAUGUGGAUUCCAUCCCUCAUCUCACUCAGUGGGUUAAGGACUUAGCGUUGCCCCAAGCUGCAGUGUAGGUUGCAGGUGUGGCGUGAAUCCGGCAUUGUUGUGGCUGUGGCAUAGGCCUGUAGCUACAGCUCCAGUUCAGCCCCUAGCCCAGAACUUUCAUAUGCUGCAGGUGCAGCCGUAAAAAGAAAAUAAAUAAAACACAAAUUUAUUAAAGCAAAAAAGGAGUCAGGAAGUUCUCUCAACUGCUGAGAGAUGGACAAGAUCCCAGCACUCAUUAAUGAAGGACAGCGAGUGUGAUACUGUCAGGAUAGACAUGUAGAGGAGGGUAUUAUAGAGCCGAGGAUUGUUUGCAGCUUAAAACCUUGGGAUUUAGGGCAGUACUGGAGAGGUCAAGGAGGCAUUGAGGAGGUGGGUCACUUGAGGUGAGCAUGUUUUAUGGGACGGGGCAGGAGGGCAUUAGCAGUCUGUUUCUGAAUAGUUGGAACAUGGCAGGUGGUAAUCAAGCAACCUGUUAACAUUAUUUGAAGAAGUUUCCCAUAGAAGACAAUGCUCUGAGGGUCUGUUACUUUGUUCAUUCCUUUGGCUCUAUGUCCUAACACUUAAAUUUCUGAAUCCCAGGUGUAUUUAGCUUAUACAGUUGACCCUUGAACAACUGGGGGUUUAUUUGAUUGUAAUUUAUAAUUGGUCCUCUGUAUCAGUGGUUCUUCUGCAUACGAGGAUUCAACCAGCUACAGAACCAUGUAGUUCUAUAGUAUUUCUUACUGAAAAAUAUCCACCUAUAUGUGGAUUUGGGGCACUUCAAACCCAGUGUUGUUCAAGGUCAUCUGUAAUUGAAUCUUUACUGUCUAACAUAAUGACUGUCAUGUGAAAAGGGCACAGAAAAUGCUCAUUCAUUCAUUGCUUCAUAUGGAUGGAAAAUAACUAAUGGUCUGCUCCCUGCUAGGUGCUGCGGCUGCGCUGGAGAACAUAACCCUUUUGGUCCCAGGUUCCAUGAGAACUGUCUUAGUGGGGCAUUUUAGGCAAGAAACUAGUGAAUGUCAAUAGGUAGAACUGAUCUGUGGUAGCCAUGAAGGAAAUAAAUGGGCUUGUGAUUAUAGCAGUAGGCAUCUCUUUUACAUAGAUGGUAAGUGAAAAUCUCCUGGUCAUCAGGGAGAUAGAACUCCAUGCUGAAAGAGCAGGAAGUACAACCAAGAACUUGGGGUGGAAAAAAGUGCGUGGCUUGCUCUAGCAUCUUGCUGAAGACAUUGAGGCUCCAAGCAACAUAAGAUAGAUGAUGGGAAUCCUGUGAGAUGAGGUCCCAGAGGGUGGGAAGGAGACAGGCAGGAGCUAGCGUCUACAGAAUCCAGCAGGCUGUAUUAAAGAGAAUCUUAAGGAUCCUGAGAAAUCAUUAAAGGUGAGCAACAUUUACAUUUAUUUCAAGAUUUACUUACCUACACGCUCUAAAGGACCAAAGUAGGUAAUCUUAGAAGGUAUUGAGCACUCCUGGUCAUGUGGGUAGCUAUUUUUGAAAAACCUUCCUUUUGACUAUAGACUAACAUCCAUUAAGAAACUGCACAGAGGUCCUCCAUUCUCAUGGGAGUGCUGGAAGCUAAGCCAACUGGGGGAACAUCUGAUGAAUCCUUGGAGAGACAAAAGUGGAGGACAUAAAGCUGCACAAGUAGGUUUCGACUCCAGGUCUCAUUUUAAGAGUGAGCCCCCUGUGAGAGGCAGUAAUUGGCCAGCAGAGUGCGAUUGCUCCUAAUUGCUUCCCUAAUUACACAUGCCGGUGUUGGGGGCUGAAGGCCUGGUACUUUGGCAUUGUAUAUCACAGAUGACUUAUCCCUGGAGAGAUGAGGCAAAAAUAUCUCCCAGGAAUGAGCCUUUUUUUCUUUUUUUGUAGCCCUCCAGGCAGUGGGGAUGCAGAUAGGAGGAGUCCAGGGAACUAGGUUAUAUACAGGGUCUUUAGUUGGUAAGUAGAUACAAGUCAGCUCAGAGAGUACACAUCCCACCAAACCUUCUAG